rnacentral:rRNA from 1 species
GACAGAGGUGCCGAGCGUUAGGCGGAAUCACUGGGCUUAAAGCGUGUGUAGGCGGGCGAUCAAGUACCUUGUGAAAUCCCACGGCUCAACCGUGGAACCGCUGGGUAUACUGGUUGUCUUGAGCCGGCUAGGGGCGAGCGGAACAGACGGUGGAGCGGUGAAAUGCGUAGAUAUCGGGAGGAACACCGGUGGCGAAGGCGGGUCUCUGGGCAAUUCCUGACGCUGAGGCGCGAAAGCGUGGGGAGCAAACGGG